CCGGAGCGGUGGUGCGUGCCUGUAGUCCCAGCUACUUGGUCGGCUGAGGUGGGAGGAUACCUUUAGCCCAGGAGUUCUGCGCUGUACUGUGUUAUGCCGAUCGGGUGUUUCCACUAAGUUCGGCAUCAAUAUGGUGACCUCCCAAGCACGGUAGACCACCAGGUUGCCUAAGGUGGGGUGUACAGGUCCAGGUCGGAAAUGGAGCAGGUUAGACUCCCGUGCUGAUCAGUAGUGGGAUCGCGGCUGUGAAUAGCCACUGCAUUCCAGCCUGGGCAACACAGCGAGAUCCCGUCUCU
rnacentral:SRP_RNA from 1 species